AACGCGAAGAACCUUACCUGGGCUCGAACGGCUUCGGACAAUCCUUGGAAACAGGGACUUCCCGCAAGGGACUGGAGUCGAGGUGCUGCAUGGCUGUCGUCAGCUCGUGUCGUGAGAUGUUGGGUUAAGUCCCGCAACGAGCGCAACCCUUGUCCUGUGUUGGCAUGCCGCAAGGCGCAACUCUCAGGAGACCGCCAGCGAUAAGUUGGAGGAAGGUGGGGAUGACGUCAAGUCAUCAUGGCCUUUAUGUCCAGGGCCACACACGUGCUACAAUGGGCGGUACAAAGCGCUGCCAACCCGCGAGGGGGAGCUAAUCGCCAAAAACCGUCCUCAGUUCGGAUUGCAGGCUGCAACUCGCCUGCAUGAAGCUGGAAUCGCUAGUAAUGCUAUAUCAGAACGAUAGCGUGAAUACGUUCCCGGGCCUUGUA
rnacentral:rRNA from 1 species